GACGAACGCUGGCGGCGUGCUUAACACAUGCAAGUCGAACGAUGAAGCCUAGCUUGCUAGGUGGAUUAGUGGCGAACGGGUGAGUAAUACGUGAGUAACCUACCUUUAACUCUGGGAUAAGCCUGGGAAACUGGGUCUAAUACCGGAUACGACCAAUCUCCGCAUGGGGUGUUGGUGGAAAGCGUUAUGUAGUGGUUAUAGAUGGGCUCACGGCCUAUCAGCUUGUUGGUGAGGUAACGGCUCACCAAGGCGACGACGGGUAGCCGGCCUGAGAGGGUGACCGGCCACACUGGGACUGAGACACGGCCCAGACUCCUACGGGAGGCAGCAGUGGGGAAUAUUGCACAAUGGGCGCAAGCCUGAUGCAGCGACGCCGCGUGAGGGAUGACGGCCUUCGGGUUGUAAACCUCUGUUAGCAGGGAAGAAGAGAAAUUGACGGUACCUGCAGAGAAAGCACCGGCUAACUACGUGCCAGCAGCCGCGGUAAUACGUAGGGCGCGAGCGUUGUCCGGAAUUAUUGGGCGUAAAGAGCUUGUAGGCGGUUUGUCGCGUCUGCUGUGAAGGCCGGGGCUUAACCCCGUGUAUUGCAGUGGGUACGGGCAGACUAGAGUGCAGUAGGGGAGACUGGAAUUCCUGGUGUAGCGGUGGAAUGCGCAGAUAUCAGGAGGAACACCGAUGGCGAAGGCAGGUCUCUGGGCUGUAACUGACGCUGAGAAGCGAAAGCAUGGGGAGCGAACAGGAUUAGAUACCCUGGUAGUCCAUGCCGUAAACGUUGGGCACUAGGUGUGGGGAACAUUCCACGUUUUCCGCGCCGUAGCUAACGCAUUAAGUGCCCCGCCUGGGGAGUACGGCCGCAAGGCUAAAACUCAAAGAAAUUGACGGGGGCCCGCACAAGCGGCGGAGCAUGCGGAUUAAUUCGAUGCAACGCGAAGAACCUUACCAAGGCUUGACAUAUACUGGACCGCAUCAGAGAUGGUGUUUCCCUUCGGGGCUGGUGUACAGGUGGUGCAUGGUUGUCGUCAGCUCGUGUCGUGAGAUGUUGGGUUAAGUCCCGCAACGAGCGCAACCCUCGUUCUAUGUUGCCAGCACGUAAUGGUGGGGACUCAUAGGAGACUGCCGGGGUCAACUCGGAGGAAGGUGGGGAUGACGUCAAAUCAUCAUGCCCCUUAUGUCUUGGGCUUCACGCAUGCUACAAUGGCCGGUACAGAGGGUUGCGAUACUGUGAGGUGGAGCUAAUCCCUAAAAGCCGGUCUCAGUUCGGAUUGGGGUCUGCAACUCGACCCCAUGAAGUCGGAGUCGCUAGUAAUCGCAGAUCAGCAACGCUGCGGUGAAUACGUUCCCGGGCCU
rnacentral:rRNA from 1 species